CUUAUUAAAUAUGGUUAGAAAAGAUGAAGAAUCAUAACACCAAAUAAACCGAACUAGAACAACAAAUAAGCAAGACAGAGAGUGGUCGUAUUACAAAACUUGGGAAACUAAAUGGUUUUGAGGAAGCUUUUGUGAGUAAAGAGGAAAGGGUAAAAUUACAAAAGGAAAUGAGAUGGAGUGGCAAGAGCUAACAGACAGGCACAAAGUAACAUAGAGGAAGAUCAAAAUUGUAUACAUGUGAGCAAGACAAAAAGGUUGAUGGGCUAUUAAUAAACAUGAGUUGGGGCUGGGUUUAGACAUAGAGGAUCAACCCUGGGGUUAGGUCUGAGAAUAUUUAUAUCAAGGGUUGGAGGAUUAAAUGUAUUGUAAGGCUUCGGACUUUAUUGGAAUUAGAACUAUAGCUAGUUUACUCAAGUGACCUAACUGGAUGAGUAUUUUACAGGUUUUCUCGUGGCAAUGUGCCUUGUCCUUUGUGCUUCACCAUAUGAAACUGCACCAGCAACUACCGAAUAUGAUCUCAAGCAUCUUUCCGUUCGUCUUUUCAAGUCUGUAUUUCAGCGUGAAGGAACUUAAAGAAAAUUACACGCAGUGGGUUGGUCCACCCUUCUCAACUGAUAUGGGAUUCAUUGAUAUGUUACCUGAACAUUCUCUGCCUGAUCCUUCCACUGGAAUAGACAACACCUUUGGACUCGAGGAUAUCUGCACCUGCCAAAAAUCCAUCACGUUGUACGUGGUUACCUUAAACCAUGCGUUUUUUGAACAAAACAUCACAUACAAACUCCACAACGAAGUACUUAAGUUGCUAUCUGAGCUGAGAUUACAAAUGAAUCGACUCAAACGAAUCUGCACAUUGGAGAUUGUGGGCAAUGAAGAUGAUGGGAUUCAGAUGUCUGAAUCUCCCAGAACUGAAAUGGAGAAGCGUACUCGCACGCUUGCCAUCCUUAUGGACCUGGAGAAUUGGCUUGAUAGGCUUCUCACAAGCAUGGAUGAUGAGCUGGUGCGUGAUAAAUCCAGCCAUUAAAAAAUAUGCAAAAGUAGCAAAAGGGAAUUGAUGUAUGCAAGUCUGUGUUAUGAAUGUAUUUAUGCGAAAAUUGAUUUGCGUUUGAAAAAAAACAACAAAACAGUUUUUGAUAAACAGGUACUAUAUCGUUUUACCCUCCACCAUGCUAUCUUUUUCUUCAUCUUAAACUUUCCCUCCUUAUAUGUUUUGCCUCUUCAUCAACGUUUAUCAUAUUUCUUAGACCAUUCUCUCUCUCAUUCUCAGUGUAUAUAAAAAAAAUAUUUAUUAUAUUUAUAAAUAAGUUAUCCUACAAUGUCAAUAACAAUAAAUAUUAUGACAGGUACCUUUGAUGAUCGACCGUUUAUAAAAUUGAAUACUUCUUGCAGAAGAUCAAAUGUGAAGAGUUUACAUUUUCUACAAAGUAAACAAUCUCAGAACAGUAAAAGUACAAUACAAUUCUCCUGAAGGAGGAAAAUUCUUAGAAAAACGGAAGGAAAUUGGUCUGCAUUCGUGUCAAAACUGAUCAUGUUCACCGCAAAACAUUAUGGUGUUUAAAACCAACGAAAGAGUAACAUUGAAUUUGAGUUCAUGAUAAUAAAAAACAGAAAGGCGAGACAAGCUAUUGUGCAUCAAUACAAAUAAAAAAUGGAAAAAAAAUAAUUAAGGUAACAUCAAAGUAAACUGAAGCGAUCCACUACAGUAUAAAAUAAACUUGUUGAAUUCUCAUAAUGUAAUCCACAAGGAUUUUGUGACACCUGUUAUACAGGCUGCAGUAUUUUAAACUAUUGUACCCAUUUGCACACACACUGUCAUGCACUGUGAGGACCCAUUCUGGUCUUUGAUUCUGAAAUGGUAAACACCAUAUUUUAAGCACUGUUUGAUGCAAUAUUUCUCCAACAUUUAUAUUUAAAAUGAUCAUUUGUCUCAUGCACAUGUAGCACAAGCUAAAAUCGUACUCAAACUAUAAAAACAUUGAUCAGUGGGUUCCAGGGUUCCAGGGCAAGUUCCAGGGCAAGUUCCAGGGCAGUUACUUUAAUCUGCUCCGAAAUCCCUCAACACCUCAAUUGCAAUUUCUAAUCUGGGAACGACGUUUCAUGUUUCAUCCCCCGUUGUGGUAUUUAUAGAUUCUAAGUUAUAUAUUUUUGUAUGUUCAAUGUCAUUCACAUUUUCAAAUAACUUUUUUAUUUCUAUUUUUUUUAACAAAUGUCUUAUUUAUUUAUAGAAAGAGUUUAAAUAUCUCAUACUUUAUGCAGGGGAACAACAAACUCGAUAUUUCCCCUUUUUCUCUUGCUGCUACCAUUAUGUGAUGGCUCAUUUUAUUUUGUAAUUUAUUAUUUUAUAAAACAGAUUCCAUUGUUCACGUCAUAUAUUUUAUUUCUAUGCAGAAUCUCAUGCAAAUACUGUAAGUUUCAAAAUUUGCAAAUACCUCUCCAUUAUUUAAAUGUUAUUUUAUUUUAAAUAAAUAAUUUAUUCUUAGAGCAGAAUGAAUUAAAAGAAUAAAUUAUUUACAUUUACAUUCCUUUGGGUUCAAGUUCUCAGUUUGUAUUCAUUCAUUUCAUG
ensembl:lincRNA